rnacentral:ribozyme from 1 species
CAGCAAGCGGAUAUGUUCAAGAAACAAAGUAAGGAAUUAAAAAAUAAGAUGUGGUGGAAGGAUAAGAUGAUGGCCAUAUGUCUAGGCGUGUUUAUUUUCGGCGUUAUUUUAUAUCUUCUUGUUCCCCACUUUU